AUGAAGAGAAGUAGCAGAAUAUUCGACGCCACCUUAGUGCAUAAGGAGGAAAAAUGGCAAGCGCAAGAGUCACAAACAAUAUAUAUAUCUUCUUGUGAGGUUGUUGUCAAUGUUGUGAUCACAAGGGAUGCAACACUGCCUUAUGAAUAUGAUGGUUUACGAUUUGUCGCCGAUGCUAUCACAAGGUCCAUUGCAUGGCCAUCUAGCAAGAUGAAACCCUACAAGCCAGGGGCAUCUUCCUCCGUGUUAAUCUUGUCUGAGAUCUCUGAUGGUGGUGGAAAGACAACAUUUGUUUAUUUCAUUAUCGAUAAGAAAACGUGA
rnacentral:rRNA from 1 species